rnacentral:rRNA from 1 species
CCUACGGGAGGCAGCAGUGAGGAAUAUUGGUCAAUGGACGCAAGUCUGAACCAGCCAUGCCGCGUGCAGGAAGACGGCUCUAUGAGUUGUAAACUGCUUUUGUACGAGGGUAAACGCAGAUACGCGUAUCUGUCUGAAAGUAUCGUACGAAUAAGGAUCGGCUAACUCCGUGCCAGCAGCCGCGGUAAUACGGAGGAUUCAAGCGUUAUCCGGAUUUAUUGGGUUUAAAGGGUGCGUAGGCGGUCGGAUAAGUUAGAGGUGAAAUCCCGAGGCUCAACUUCGGACUUGCCUCUGAUACUGUUCGGCUAGAGAGUAGGUGCGGUAGGCGGAAUGUAUGGUGUAGCGGUGAAAUGCUUAGAGAUCAUACAGAACACCGAUUGCGAAGGCAGCUUACCAAGCUACUUCUGACGUUGAGGCACGAAAGCGUGGGGAGCGAACAGGAUUAGAUACCCGAGUAGUC